rnacentral:sRNA from 1 species
UAAAUCCUGAGAUGUGCGCUAAGCUUAUAAUAUUCAACCUACAUUGAAUAUACGGGAUUUGCGAAAUCUAAGUGUAUGUCGGGCUCCAAUUAUUUGCAGCAUUGCAACGGGAGAAGACAGAGAAUUAGUGAGCUUAACCCACCUGCGAGUAGCAGGUAUGAAUAUUUAAGUGACCGGCAUGUUGGGAAUAUA